UACGGGAGGCAGCAGUGGGGGAAUAUUGCACAAUGGGCGCAAGCCUGAUGCAGCCAUGCCGCGUGUAUGAAGAAGGCCUUCGGGUUGUAAAGUACUUUCAGUCGUGAGGAAGGUGUUAAGGUUAAUAACCUUAGCAAUUGACGUUAGCGACAGAAGAAGCACCGGCUAACUCCGUGCCAGCAGCCGCGGUAAUACGGAGGGUGCGAGCGUUAAUCGGAAUUACUGGGCGUAAAGGGCACGCAGGCGGUUAAUUAAGUUGGAUGUGAAAUCCCCGGGCUUAACCUGGGAAUGGCAUUCAAGACUGGUUAGCUAGAGUCUUGUAGAGGGGGUAGAAUUCCAUGUGUAGCGGUGAAAUGCGUAGAGAUGUGGAGGAAUACCGGUGGCGAAAGGCGGCCCCUGGACAAAAGGACUGACGCUCAUGUGCGAAAAGCGUGGGGAGCAAACAGGGAUUAGAUACC
rnacentral:rRNA from 1 species